rnacentral:rRNA from 1 species
UAGGGAAUCUUCCGCAAUGGACGCAAGUCUGACGGAGCAACGCCGCGUGAGUGAAGAAGGAUUUCGGUUCGUAAAACUCUGUUGUUAGAGAAGAACAGCGCAUAGAGUAACUGUUAUGCGUGUGACGGUAUCUAACCAGAAAGCCACGGCUAACUACGUGCCAGCAGCCGCGGUAAUACGUAGGUGGCAAGCGUUGUCCGGAUUUAUUGGGCGUAAAGCGAGCGCAGGCGGUCAAUUAAGUCUGAUGUGAAAGCCCCCGGCUCAACCGGGGAGGGUCAUUGGAAACUGGAUGACUUGAGUGCAGAAGAGGAGAGUGGAAUUCCAUGUGUAGCGGUGAAAUGCGUAUAUAUAUGGAGGAACACCAGUGGCGAAGGCGACUCUCUGGUCUGUAACUGACGCUGAGGCUCGAAAGCGUGGGUAGCAAACAGG